GGCUGAGUAACACGUGGAGAACCUGCCCCCUCCCCCGGGAUAGCCGCCCGAAAGGACGGGUAAUACCGGAUACCCCGGGGUGCCGCAUGGCACCCCGGCUAAAGCCCCGACGGGAGGGGAUGGCUCCGCGGCCCAUCAGGUAGACGGCGGGGUGACGGCCCACCGUGCCGACAACGGGUAGCCGGGUUGAGAGACCGACCGGCCAGAUUGGGACUGAGACACGGCCCAGACUCCUACGGGAGGCAGCAGUGGGGAAUCUUGCGCAAUGGGGGGAACCCUGACGCAGCGACACCGCGUGCGGGACGGAGGCCUUCGGGUCGUAAACCGCUUUCAGCAGGGAAGAGUCAAGACUGUACCUGCAGAAGAAGCCCCGGCUAACUACGUGCCAGCAGCCGCGGUAAUACGUAGGGGGCGAGCGUUAUCCGGAUUCAUUGGGCGUAAAGCGCGCGUAGGCGGCCCGGCAGGCCGGGGGUCGAAGCGGGGGGCUCAACCCCCCGAAGCCCCCGGAACCUCCGCGGCUUGGGUCCGGUAGGGGAGGGUGGAACACCCGGUGUAGCGGUGGAAUGCGCAGAUAUCGGGUGGAACACCGGUGGCGAAGGCGGCCCUCUGGGCCGAGACCGACGCUGAGGCGCGAAAGCUGGGGGAGCGAACAGGAUUAGAUACCCUGGUAGUCCCAGCCGUAAACGAUGGACGCUAGGUGUGGGGGGACG
rnacentral:rRNA from 1 species